AUCCAACUGACCAGUCCCAAAUAGGACGAAACGCGCGUCGAACUGCAU
rfam:Schistosoma margrebowiei strain Zambia genome assembly, scaffold: SMRZ_scaffold0000383